GUCCUUUUGAUUUUUAUUUAAGGUCUGACCUGCCCACUGAUUUAUUUAAUGGCCGCGGUAUUUUGACCGUGCAAAGGUAGCAUAAUAAUUUGUCUUUUAAUUGAAGGCUUGUAUGAAUGGUUGGACGAGAAAAUUACUUUCUUUAUAAUAAAAUAAUUAAUUUUAUUUUUUAGUUAAAAAGCUUAAAUGUUGUUGUAGGACGAGAAGACCCUAUAGAACUUUAUACUUAUUUUUAUAUUAAUAUUUUUGGUUAAUAAUAUAUUGUAUUUUUAUAAGUAUUUUGUUGGGGCGACAAGAAAAUUUAUUUAACUUUUUUUUAUUAAUUUCAUUAAUUAAUGUAUAAAUGAUCCUUUAUUACGGAUAAUUAGAAUAAGUUACCUUAGGGAUAACAGCGUAAUUUUUUUGGAGAGUUCUUAUCGAUAAAAAAGUUUGCGA
rnacentral:rRNA from 1 species